UUUUUCUUUCUCUUAAAUCGAUCGUACCAAUCAAAAUACACUUUGAUCGUCGGGGCAUUAACGGAACACGCCAUCGCAAAAUAUGACCAGCAGAAGUUGGAUACACAAUGAACUACACAAAAAAUCAAAUAUUUGACUUUUUUCUGAAGCAUAAAAAGACUACCCUAAUGCUGGAGGCACAUAAAAUCACUGAAUAAGUAAUAAUUGGAAAUCAAAUUCUGGUACAAGUUAUCACUGAUUCGUAUUUUACCAGGUAAUAAUCUUCUAUGAACAAAAUACAACAAUUCAUUCAAUUAAAA